rnacentral:rRNA from 1 species
UACGUAGGGUCCGAGCGUUGUCCGGAAUUAUUGGGCGUAAAGGGCUCGUAGGCGGUUUGUUGCGUCCGCUGUGAAAACUCGGGGCUUAACCCCGAGCCUGCAGUGGAUACGGGCAGACUAGAGGUAGGUAGGGGAGAAUGGAAUUCCCGGUGUAGCGGUGAAAUGCGCAGAUAUCGGGAGGAACACCGGUGGCGAAGGCGGUUCUCUAGGCCGUAACUGACGCUGAGGAGCGAAAGCGUGGGGAGCGAACAGG